AAAUUGAAGAGUUUGAUCAUGGCUCAGAUUGAACGCUGGCGGCAGGCCUAACACAUGCAAGUCGAGCGGUAGCACAGAAGAGCUUGCUCUUUGGGUGACGAGCGGCGGACGGGUGAGUAAUGUCUGGGAAACUGCCUGAUGGAGGGGGAUAACUACUGGAAACGGUAGCUAAUACCGCAUAACCUCGCAAGAGCAAAGAGGGGGACCUUCGGGCCUCUCGCCAUUAGAUGUGCCCAGAUGGGAUUAGCUAGUAGGUGAGGUAAUGGCUCACCUAGGCGACGAUCCCUAGCUGGUCUGAGAGGAUGACCAGCCACACUGGAACUGAGACACGGUCCAGACUCCUACGGGAGGCAGCAGUGGGGAAUAUUGCACAAUGGGCGCAAGCCUGAUGCAGCCAUGCCGCGUGUGUGAAGAAGGCCUUCGGGUUGUAAAGCACUUUCAGCGGGGAGGAAGGCGGUAAGGUUAAUAACCUUAUCGAUUGACGUUACCCGCAGAAGAAGCACCGGCUAACUCCGUGCCAGCAGCCGCGGUAAUACGGAGGGUGCAAGCGUUAAUCGGAAUGACUGGGCGUAAAGCGCACGCAGGCGGUCUGUUAAGUUGGAUGUGAAAUCCCCGGGCUUAACCUGGGAACUGCAUUCAAAACUGACAGGCUAGAGUCUUGUAGAGGGGGGUAGAAUUCCAGGUGUAGCGGUGAAAUGCGUAGAGAUCUGGAGGAAUACCGGUGGCGAAGGCGGCCCCCUGGACAAAGACUGACGCUCAGGUGCGAAAGCGUGGGGAGCAAACAGGAUUAGAUACCCUGGUAGUCCACGCUGUAAACGAUGUCGAUUUGGAGGUUGUGCCCUUGAGGCGUGGCUUCCGGAGCUAACGCGUUAAAUCGACCGCCUGGGGAGUACGGCCGCAAGGUUAAAACUCAAAUGAAUUGACGGGGGCCCGCACAAGCGGUGGAGCAUGUGGUUUAAUUCGAUGCAACGCGAAGAACCUUACCUACUCUUGACAUCCAGAGAACUUAGCAGAGAUGCUUUGGUGCCUUCGGGAACUCUGAGACAGGUGCUGCAUGGCUGUCGUCAGCUCGUGUUGUGAAAUGUUGGGUUAAGUCCCGCAACGAGCGCAACCCUUAUCCUUUGUUGCCAGCGAUUCGGUCGGGAACUCAAAGGAGACUGCCGGUGAUAAACCGGAGGAAGGUGGGGAUGACGUCAAGUCAUCAUGGCCCUUACGAGUAGGGCUACACACGUGCUACAAUGGCGUAUACAAAGAGAAGCGACCUCGCGAGAGCAAGCGGACCUCAUAAAGUACGUCGUAGUCCGGAUUGGAGUCUGCAACUCGACUCCAUGAAGUCGGAAUCGCUAGUAAUCGUAGAUCAGAAUGCUACGGUGAAUACGUUCCCGGGCCUUGUACACACCGCCCGUCACACCAUGGGAGUGGGUUGCAAAAGAAGUAGGUAGCUUAACCUUCGGGAGGGCGCUUACCACUUUGUGAUUCAUGACUGGGGUGAAGUCGUAACAAGGUAACCGUAGGGGAACCUGCGGUUGGAUCACCUCCUUACCAAGAAG
rnacentral:rRNA from 1 species